AUCUGAGUCAUCCCUAAAUAUGGGCAGGAUAUCAGUCUUGGACUGUCUAACCUGCCGGAGCAGCACUGAAUGACCACCACACAUGAGCAUGUUCCUGCAACAUUCAGCAGCUUUGCUUUUGUGUCAAAUGUCCAACAGCUGGAGAGGAAACUAAACCAGUACUGGGCUGUUUCACCAACACGUGCCAGAUGCUGUUCCUUCAUGGUGACAUCACCAGAGACAGCCCCGCCCACCUCAGGACCUCGCCAUUGAUCAUGAUGAUUAUAAUGAUGACAGCGAGCGGAACUAAGACUGUACAAAUCCACGACCAGAAUGUUUAGAUAGUUUCUAAUUAUUAAUGAAUACUG